rnacentral:lncRNA from 1 species
GCCAUUUGGGGAUAUUUUCUUGGGAACCUCCUGAUCUGUUGGGAAGAGGAGGGGCUGGGGCUCCUCAUUAACAGGACUGAGACCCGAGACUCAGAGUGAAGUCUCGAUUGUGUAUCAUGAAGUUGGAACCCAGAACUCCCCCCGCACCUCCAUCCCUGCCAAGAGGCCUCCAGAGUCCCAGUCUGUCAUCAGAUGACGGGACCGCGUCUGGCAUGUCCCACAGAUGCGCAGGGAUCAACCCCCACCCUGCGUCGUGGGCGUCCUUACUCCCAACACAGCCACUCGUGUUCGGAAUCCGAGGGGUCUGUACCCCUGUGAGGUCAACGGGGUCAUCUCACGGCUCAGGAAGAUUCUGGUUUCUGCUAAUGAACCUAGCCAAUGACACUCAGAAGUGUAGUCUCUGGGGAGAACCAUCCUUCCCUGAAAACCAGCAGAAGUCCUAAGAAGAGAAAGCCCUUCAUGCCUCACCAUUCGUCUUGCGCAUUUGGAUGGAUUUGCUGGAGGUGCAAGCAGCCGUCUUGUGAUUCUGAAGCAAGAGUCAUUAGGAGAAGACAAGGAACUUGGAGAGACACUAGCCAAGCUUCUGAACCAAGGCCAGUGGCCACUGACCUCUGCAUGUCUAAAUCUGUUCACUGAGGUUACUCUUAGGCAAUAUCUUCUUAGCUAGUACAUGUGUGUAAAGUUAUUUCCUAAGCAUUUAACUUUUUGAUGAUAAAGUGAUAUGCCAGAUAAGAAGAAAGAAAUAUUAAACUGCCUGCAUUUCAAAAAAAGCACUCAGGGAGUUCCUGUCAUUGCUCAGUGGUUAAUGAAUCCGACUAGGAACCAUGAGGUUGUGGGUUCGAUCCCUGGCCUUGCUCAAUGGGUUAAGGAUCCAGUGUUGCCGUGAGCUGUGGUGUAGGUCGCAGAUGCAGUUCAAAUCUGGCAUUGCUGUGGCUGUGGUGUAGGCCAGCGGCUGCAGCAGCUCCGAUUCGACCCCUGGCCUGGGAACCUCCAUAUGCUGCAGGUGCGGCCCUAAAAAACAAAAAGACAAAAAAAAAAAAAAAAGGCGCUUAGUAUGAAAGUACUUACCUCUAAAAAAUUGCCCAAAAUUCAACUCUUUUUUUUUUUUUUUUCUGUUUGUGAUUCAAACCGAUUUAAUCACGUAGUAGCUGCCUGUGACUACAUUGUUGUCAAUCGGAUGGUUUUGUGCCUUUUCAGCAUUUGA